AUCCUUAAGCAUGUCCCCCUUAUUCUUCUUAACUAACAGCUCUUAAUUAGUGGUCAGAGCCCUGAAUCUCUUCCACUUCAUUUGAUGGAGUCUUUCAAUCAUCAAUUUUAGAAAUUCCUUCGUCAAGGUAUUAUUUUCAGCAGUAACAAUAAACACUCGCCUAACCGAUCCAUAUUUUUUCCUUGUAAGAAUUAUCUCCUUAAAAGCAUUUUUCGCGUUGUAUAAAUAAAAUGACCUUACUAGUGUAGAAUAAGUCAGUUAAGAUGUAUUCUUCAUAAAUAGAUUGUAAUCAUCAGUUACAGAAAAUUUAUGAAAUAUACAGAUCACUUCCUCUCUUCUUCUCUCUGUUUCUCUCUUCUUCUAUUCAUCUCCAUUGAUUGAAUCCUCCAGUUCUCUCCUAGACAAUCUUUCGAUCCUCGAAUCUUUAGGAUUCCUGCAAUCGAACCACUAUUCAGUAAAAAUUUUCUUGGAACAAUGAUCCUAUAACUCAACCGGAGAUGCCUAACCGAUGUUGGAACAGGAAGCCGCACCAAGAUUUGUCCACUCACGCGUCUCCACGCGCACUUCGAACUGGGUUGCCUCACCAGCUUUGACGGCGCGUGUGAUUUACGCACUUCUCCUCUGGAAACCGGCUUCUGUAGAUCGGGGUCGUUCUUAGGUUGGUAGCAGCCGCUAAAUUUUCAGAUUCAAAAAAUUCACACACACUGACCCAAUCCCGCAAGCUUUCUGAGGUAACUCAGAAAAUUGUUACCAUUUAAAGAUAUGAAAACCUAGGUGAGAAAGAGAAUCGUCCGAGUCUAUAUAAGCAGACUGCAUGCCUAUUUAUUCCUAAUCAAUGUGAAACUUUAACCAAGUCUAACCAUCAUCAUUAUAGAGAGGCCAAUCAAGUUGCGGAUGGACUUGCUAAGGAAUCAACAAAAUUGAUUCUGGCCUGAAGCUAAGAAACACUUCAAGCUAGCUAGUUCAUGGAGCCUGAGCCUGAACCUGGUAAAAUAUUGUGGCAUCGAUGAGAUCUUUAGGGCUUCUCUUCCAGUUUGACAUCAUCUCAUCAAUACUACAAUCUUGUACCAUGACCAUGCUACAUGGCCCUGACAAGGUUGCAUUUGCAUAUUAGCAACAGAUGUUUUAUAACUACUAGACUUGUUUAGAAACUAGUUUUUCUCCAUAUCUACUAUUUCCCUUUUCGAUUGUUGAGUUUCCUUUAAUUUCAACUUGAAUGAUUUAAUUGUUGAGAAAAGUAGGAGCUUGUAUAUAUAUACGGUAUAAUUUUAGUAAAACACCCUUGGUGAGAUUUCUGGCUCCACCACUGCUGUUAAUCUUCUUAAUUAGCCAUCAAUCUUUGUUACCUAUUAUUCAUUAGCUGAUAGUACAAUUUUUCGAUCAGUACCAUUCAAUAUAACUUUGAAUAGUCCUAAUGACUAACAAUCAUUAUUCAGACGUAUAUGGCUGCUAUUGUCUGGUCGGUUAUAUAUGAUCAGACCUUAACCAUUCUGAGCAGAAGUUUUCUUGAUCAAUAUAUUUUCAAGUCCGUAAGUAAUUCUUCUUUGGCUGCAGAGAUCCACACAAAAUCCUCCUACAUAUUAUAGAGUGUUGGGUUUUCUUUCUUAAUGGAUCUUGUCGGUUUUUGUGCUCCUAGUUUUAUGAAACACAGUGUCAUUGACACGCCUCAAGCUAUAAGAAUUCUCUACAUGUUUUGUGACUAUAGAAUUUUCCGUAGGAUUUACAACACUUUGUCAACUUCUAUGUCCUCCUCCCCGUUGACAUGAUUUAUUUGUUCGGUCUUGAUCCAAAUGAACUAAAAUUCAGUAAUUAUAGUUCAUAAAGGUCGCUUAUUGAUAUCAAUUCGAAACACUGAAAUUAGAAUGAAGGAAAUAACAGCUGAAAGAAAAUGAUGGAAAUAUCAAAUUAACUAGGACUUGUAUGAAAGAACUGAGAUCCCCAUAUCAAUGCAUCAGAUAUGUUAUUCUCAGCCUCACACAAGUUCCCCUUAUUGUUCUUAAUUAAUAUCUCUUAGUUAUACUUGUUGGCAAUGUUGAGAAGAGUAGUAAAAAGUUGAAGGGGUUUAGACAUCAUGGUCAUGUGAUCAGAGCCUUGGAUCACUUCCACUUCAUCUGGUGGAUUCUUUUCAAUGAAUACUCUCCUAACUGAUUCGUACCUUGUUCUUGAAAGAACUAUAUCCUUAGAAAUAUCUUCCACAUGGUAUAAAUAAUAUGGCCUUAUUAGUGUUGUGGCCAGUGCCAAAUCCUAACACCAAGAAGGAAACAAAAACAUUUUAAAUCAGUUACAAGAUAUGUUGCGAUUAAGUAAUUGAAUAGAUCAGUAAUUUGGAUAAUUAAACUCUUAAAUCCUUCAAGUAGGUGAUGCCUUCAGCUACAGAGUAUAUUUAAUUCGUAUUAUAAUUUUCUUACCUAUUAGGACUCAGCUGGUAGAUAUUAGUUGCCAAGUACUUUGAGCAUAGGAUCAAGGUGGUUGGAGGGUUCGUAAGUCCAUUAUCAUAUGUAACACGAUUAUCAAGUUGACCUAUCACUGCACUGAAUGUCUAUAACGAAGUAUAGUUGGUUUCAAACAUGUAAAGGUUUAAACAAACAUAACAGAUUAUCUCAUGGCUCUAGUUGGGAAUAUGGAAAAUUGGUACCAGCUGAGUGUAGAGGGUGGCUGCAUUGAGAGUUGGACCAGGCAUUAGAGCAGUGACAAAUACAGCAACUGAAAUCUUUUCUGGGAAUAUUUCCAUGGCUUUAGAAAUGGGAAGUCCACCAAGGCUAUGGCCUACAAGAACUACUUUUUUAUUAGUAGGAGGAGAAGCUAGCAGACUCAAGUAAUCAGAAAAAUGCGUGAUUUCAAGUUUCGGGUUGAUUCCUGAAGAACCCAAGUCAAUAGCUGUGACAUUAUUUCCUGAAGAUGUCAUUAACGCCACAAUCUUGUACCAAGACCAGGCUCCAUGACAUCCCGUAUGAACAAGCACAGAAUGUUACUUAACUUUAGUCCCUGAGAAGGUUGCAUUUGCAUAUGGCAACACAACUAUUACAACUACUUGCUAGACUUGUUAAAAACUUGCUUUUCUCCAUAUCCUUUUUCCCUUCUGUUGACGAAAGAGCACAUAAUAUGAACCAUCACAAUAAGGAAGCUUUAUAGUUAGAGGAGUUCCGCUUCUGUUAACUUAGUUUCAUGCAGAAAAAAAUGCCAUAUCAAAUGACUGUUAUUUAAGGCAUUUCCUUUUAAAGAAGCUUUGACUUCUGCUA